UACGGAGGAGGCAAGCGUUAUCCGGAAUUAUUGGGCGUAAAGCGUCCGCAGGUGGCUAUUCAAGUCUGCGGUCAAAGACUGGGGCUUAACCCUGGAAAGGCCGUGGAAACUGAAGAGCUAGAGUGCAGUAGGGGUAGAGGGAAUUCCCGGUGUAGCGGUGAAAUGCGUAAAGCUCGGGAAGAACAUCGGUGGCGAAAGCGCUCUGCUGGACUGCAACUGACACUCAGGGACGAAAGCUAGGGGAGCGAAUGGG
rnacentral:rRNA from 1 species